rnacentral:rRNA from 1 species
UACGGAGGGAGCAAGCGUUACUCGGAAUUAUUGGGCGUAAAGGGCGCGUAGGCGAUUUGAAAAGUCUUGUGUGAAAGCCCCGAGCUUAACUCGGGAAGUGCACAAGAAACUGUUGAAUUUGAGUUCCGGAGAGGAAGGCAGAAUUCCCGGUGUAGCGGUGAAAUGCGUAGAUAUCGGGAGAACACCUGUGGCGAAAGCGGCAUACUGGACCAUAACUGACGCUGAGGCGCGAAAGCUAGGGGAGCAAACAGGG